rnacentral:lncRNA from 1 species
GCCACGCUGCCCAUUGCAUCACAUUAUUUUCGUCCCCCAUGAGGAUGGAGCCGGUUGCAUCAACUGAAUAUCCUGUAAACGGAUUGAAAGGGCAUUCCGACGAGGCGGAAGAGCGGAUGCUGUUGUAUCAAAAGACUCUUAUGCAGGCGCCGCGCCAGGGGUGGGGUGGGGGUAGCGGAGACGAUAGUCGGAGAUGUAAACAAAUCCAACUUAUCCGCCGAGCGAUCGCAGGAGACGCCAGACACGAGCUUUUGAUUCCGAGGUAGUCCAGCCGCGAUCGCGCAGACGUUCGCAUCGCGGAUCCGUCAACGUCGACGUUACGUGGAAGUGAACGUGAAGUGACCGGUACGCACGGUAACCCUAGUGAUCCACGCGUUACGCACCGUCGGUUUAAGUGAGAAGUGCCCCUGGAUUUUCCACACAGAAUGGUCGAGAGAUGGAAUCUUUACCUGUUCAUUUGGAUACUGUUUGUAUUCUGGAUAAAAGGCGGAGGAGGGAACAAAUGUCUUUCACGGCAGUACGAGUAUGACAGCGUUGUGUGUGUUUGUAACUCGACUUACUGUGACUCUUUGCCAAAGAUCAAGAAAUACCCGUUGGGACGUAUCAGAUGUACACGUCGAGCAAGGAGGGACUUCGUUUCCAACCGGCUUACGGUUCAUUUUUCGACUCCAGCCAAAACAUCAAAAACGGCGUUGAGUUCUUAGUUCAACGGACGCACAAAUUCCAAUCAAUCCUAGGGUUUGGUGGUGCCUUUACCGACUCGGCAGGUAUCAACAUUCUGUCACUAACCAAAAGGACCCAGGAGAAUUACUAAGGUUAGUUUUUCAUAUUUAUACACUUCGAAAACUUUGAGAACGUAGUCUCUUCAAUGAGGGACAAUGGGGUCGAGAAUGAUGAAUAUGAAGGUGAACGGUGAGCUGUAACGGCGAACCGACAAUAAUUAGAACGAUCCCUGUGAGAAAUUGAAAUUCAUAACAAUUAUCCUCAAGUUGUAGAGACACUCAAUGUUUUCAGGGUAGGGGUUACUGAGUUUAAAAUACUUUUUCUCCGAUCAAUGGUGUAAGCAGAUGCUGUUAAACUUAAGAUUUGGCCUUUUAAAUAUGCCCUAAUUAUAUAUAAGUGGAAAUAAAAUUAUUUAAAAAUAAUUCUCAGUAAAAUGUAGUGACUUUUUUGUUGUACCUAAAACCUUUCAUACCGUUUUAUGAGUUUAACAACGUAAAUGUCAUUUUACAUAUUAUUUAUAAAAAUUUUCGAAUGAGUUAAUAAAACGACAAAAAUUCAAAGAAAACCGUUGGUAUGUUUUCGUAAAAAAAAGAAAAAAGAAAAAAAAACCCAAGAGCGAAAAUUUGCGACGUUACACAUGGCAUUUCUCGUAUUUAACCAUCGCUGAUGCAUGUGUUGCUUGAAAUGAGGCAUG